UUACGGCUAUAUCACGUUGAAACACUGCUUCCCAUAUGAUCACCGAAGUUAAGCAACGUCGAGCCUGGUCAGUACCUAGAUAAGUGACCGCUGGGGAAUACCAGGUGCUAU